AGUGGAUGGGGAGCAACCUAGUUGUGCGUGUGUAAAGGUAGUGCCAAGAAAAGCGGUGAUCAUGAUGAAAAUCAAUUCCCGGUACCCGAAACCGACACAGGUGGGCAAGUAGAGAAUACUAAGGGGCGCGAGGUAACUCUCUCCAAGGAACUCGGCAAAAUGACCCCGUAACUUAGGGAGAAGGGGUGCCACCGAGAGGUGGUCGCAGUGAAGAGGCCCAGGCGACUGUUUAGCAAAAACAUAGGUCUCUGCAAACUCGAAAGAGGAGGUAUAGGGGCUGACGCCUGCCCAGUGCCGGAAGGUUAAAGAAGUUGGUCAGUCUUAGGAUGAAGCUAGCGACUGAAGCCCCGGUGAACGGCGGCCGUAACUAUAACGGUCCUAAGGUAGCGAAAUUCCUUGUCGGGUAAGUUCCGACCCGCACGAAAGGCGUAACGAUCUGGGCGCUGUCUCGGAGAGAGGCUCGGCGAAAUAGGAUUGUCUGUGAAGAUACGGACUACCUGCAUUUGGACAGAAAGACCCUAUGAAGCUUUACUAUAGCUUGGAAUUGUGUUCGGGCUUCCUGUGCGCAGGAUAGGUGGGAGGCGUAGAAGGUAUUCUUGUGGGGAUACUGGAGCCAACGGUGAGAUACCACUCUCAGGAGGCUAGAAUUCUAACUUAAUUAAGGACAGUUUCAGGUGGGUAGUUUGACUGGGGCGGUCGCCUCCAAAAAGGUAACGGAGGCGUACAAAGGUUCCCUCAGACUGGUUGGAAAUCAGUCGAAGAGUGCAAAGGCAGAAGGGAGCUUGACUGCGAGAAGUACAGUUCGAGCAGGGUGGAAACACGGUCUUAGUGAUCCGACGGUGCUGUGUGGAAGGGCCGUCGCUCAACGGAUAAAAGUUACUCUAGGAUAACAGGCUGAUCUCCCCCAAGAGUUCACAUCGACGGGGAGGUUUGGCACCUCGAUGUCGGCUCAUCGCAACCUGGGGCGGAAGUACGUCCCAAGGGUUGGGCUGUUCGCCCAUUAAAGCGGUACGUGAGCUGGGUUCAGAACGUCGUGAGACAGUUCGGUCCAUAUCCGAUGUAGGCGUGAGAAUAUUGAGAGAAGCCUUCCUUAGUACGAGAGGACCGGGAAGGACGCACCGCUGGUGUACCUGUUAUGAUGCCAAUUGUAAACGCAGGGUAGCCAAGUGCGGAGAGGAUAACCGCUGAAAGCAUCUAAGUGGGAAGCCCACCUCAAGAUGAGUAUUCUGGUGUAAGGUCACGGGAAGACGACCCGUAAAUAGGCACGAGGUGGAAGUGCAGAGAUGUAUGAAGCCGAAGUGUACUAAUAGACCGUCGGCUUGAU
rnacentral:rRNA from 1 species